GCCGGGUGUGGUGGCAUGUGCCUGUAAUCCAAGUCACUGGGAGGCUGAGGUUGGUGGAUCAAGUGAGCUGAGGAGCUCUGGGCUGCAGCACACUAUGUCGAACGGGUGUCCACGCUAAGUUCGGUAUCGAUAUGGUGUUCCUGGGGAGCCCGGGACCACCAGGUUGUCUAAGGAGGGGUGAACCGGCCCAGGUCGGAAACGAAGCAGGUCAAAUCCCCGUGCUGUCCAGUAGUGGGAUAAUACCUGUGAGUAGAUGCUGCAGUGCAGCCUUGGCAAAACAUUGAGACCUAAUCUUUU
ensembl:misc_RNA Metazoa_SRP Metazoan signal recognition particle RNA